rnacentral:tRNA from 1 species
CCCGUAGUAUAUCUUACGCUAAGUGCAAAUCUAGAGACGAACCCUAAAGGUGUUCCAGGGCU